GGCUUCUCUUGGCAGAAUCAAUGGAGCUGGGGGAUGCAAUCUGAGGGUCUCUUUGAUUAUCAUCUUGAGUUUGGGUUUCCUAGCUAGCUCUGCCAUCGCCCACGUCAUUGUAGUUGCACUGCUUGAAAUUUCGCCACAGGUGAGUGGGCAAAAGUUAGCGCUUACCAUGAGGACUGCCUUGAUGUUAUUAUGACCAAGUUGAG